rnacentral:lncRNA from 1 species
AUUUACUUUCUCAUGAAUUAAAGGCCACAUGCUCUCAUCAAUUAUCUAAAAUAAAUCUGAAACAGGUGGAUUUUAUAAUUCUUCGAAAAGUUUUAUGCAGGUGCUCUCUGUCAAUGGUAGGACUUAUGUUAGCUCUGCAAUUGGCCUGUCAUUUGAAAGGACAGGCCAUCACCCAUCGAUAAAUAAGGUAGAAGUGAAAGAGAGGAUGAUGCUGGAGCCUUCCUUCCAUCAACAUACAUGGCAACCAACCAUUAUAUAUCAGACAUGUUGAUUUCUUUUAAUUCCAUGGUAAUAUAUAAUAUGAAUGGAAGUCAUCAGGAAAGAUAGCACAACAUCCUUCUAGUCACACCUAAAAAAGAAAAACAGUCUUAUAAUAUCACUAAUAACGAGAGAAUCACGUUCCAGUCGCACAUCUCUUUCCUUUGGUGGUUGUCUAUUCAUCUUCAAGACAUGCACUAGCAAUAUCUCCUCGGCAGGAUAACGAGAAUCUUCAUUGCAUGCACCAACAUUAAUUGAAAGGCAGGCCAUAAUUUCAGUGAUUUUUCACCAUCUCGGCUCUCGGUUCAUGUUGUAACAUCUC